rnacentral:rRNA from 1 species
AGUGAACGCUGGCGGUAGGCCUAACACAUGCAAGUCGAACGGCAGCACAGUAAGAGCUUGCUCUUACGGGUGGCGAGUGGCGGACGGGUGAGGAAUACAUCGGAAUCUACUUUUUCGUGGGGGAUAACGUAGGGAAACUUACGCUAAUACCGCAUACGACCUACGGGUGAAAGUAGGGGAUCUUCGGACCUUGCGCGAUUGAAUGAGCCGAUGUCGGAUUAGCUAGUUGGCGGGGUAAAGGCCCACCAAGGCGACGAUCCGUAGCUGGUCUGAGAGGAUGAUCAGCCACACUGGAACUGAGACACGGUCCAGACUCCUACGGGAGGCAGCAGUGGGGAAUAUUGGACAAUGGGCGCAAGCCUGAUCCAGCCAUACCGCGUGGGUGAUGAAGGCCUUCGGGUUGUAAAGCCCUUUUGUUGGGAAAGAAAAGCAGCAGGUUAAUACCCCGCUGUUCUGACGGUACCCAAAGAAUAAGCACCGGCUAACUUCGUG